CAUAAAAAGCUAUCCCUUAUGGCAAAGGAAAAGAAAAUGCACAUCCCAUGGCACACAAUGAUAAUGUGUUAUCAAAAGCUGCAUUGGCCCAACGUGCACGGCGAGAACGUGAAAAAAAUCAAAAGCCAUGUUCUGCAUACCAAUUGGGACAACGCCUGCGACGAGAACGAGAAAGAGAAAGAUCGAAGGAAUGUAUUAACCCAAGACAACCUUCUUUAACACCAAAUUGGCCUCCUCCUACAACUCCAUGUAGAAAUGUUGGUGU